GUGUGUGGCCAUACCACCCUGAAUGCGCCCAAUCUCGUUUGAUCUCAGAAGCUAAGCAGGGUCAGACCUGGUUAGUACUUGGAUGGGAGACUUUAAGGAUAUGGUAUUGAUGCAAAAU
rnacentral:rRNA from 1 species